rnacentral:rRNA from 1 species
UAGGAACGUGCCUACAAUAGGGGGAUAACUGCGGGAAACUGCAGCUAAUACCGCAUAAUCACGAGAGUGAAAAGAUGGCCUCUAUUUAUAAGCUAUCGAUUGUAGAUCGGCCUAUGUCCCAUUAGCUAGUUGGUAGGGUAAAAGCCUACCAAGGCGACGAUGGGUAGCUGGUCUGAGAGGAUGAUCAGCCACACUGGAACUGAGACACGGUCCAG